CACUCGCGUCGAGCCCCUCUCUUCUCUCUACCUCCGAACCCUAGCUAGACCGCGCCCACCUCCCUGCCCCGCUGUUGUUGUCUCCUCCACCCGGCCACCCGCGGUCACUCGCGCCCGUCUCCUCCGGCCAGCCUCCGCCUGCAACCUCCCCCCUCCCGUUUUCAAAAGGGAAGGGAAGGGAAGAGAAGAGGGAGAGCGAGCGGGUCAGGCGACGGCCAUGGCCAUGGCGCUCGCAGAUCCGCCGGCCCCGUCGUUGCCGCUGCGCUCGUAGGUGAGCGGCGCCGGGAGCUGCCGUCGUGAGGAAGCCGCGGGAGGACGAGCUCAACGGCGCCCCAGGCGCUCACUGCCAAGAAGGCAACGGAGGAGGAACUCGACCUGGACGACCGCCGCUGGACGAAGAGCCCCGAAAAAAUCCCCCAACCAUCCCUGCACCACCGCCUCUUCACCUUCGACCACGGGUUGCAGCGGUCAGAGGACCAAAUUGAAGCAUACUUGGCAAAUGGGCCUUGCCGUGAGUCGCGGUGCAACAGUGAUCUCGAUGAGCAGGGCAAUGGUCAGAUACAAGUCAGCACCAAAGAUGACUGGAAGCACUCAAAACAGUUUACCAUGCUAGAGCUAUGUCAGGUUGUACGAGGGCAGUUAAUGAAUAUACUUGUGACACUUAUACUCUCAGCAAUGCCAACAAACAUGGUUUAUGAUGAUAUUGGUGGUCUGAAGCUUUAGAUCGUCGGGGUUGCUCUCAUUCGUUCAAUUUGCCACUGAUCCUUCCAUUCUACUGUUGUUCAUUAUUAUCAUACGAAGGCUGAUCUAUGUUCUCUAUUUGUUGGGUCCUCCGUGUCAUUAUCAACAAGGAACAUGUAUAUCCUUUCAAGUUCACUGAUGUGGUUACCACUACAACACACGUCCCUCCAAGGACCAAGGGUGGGCAUGAUCUUCUACAAGCAGGAUGGGCGAACGGAGACGGUGCACUUCGACAAGAUCACGGUGCAGCUCAAGAAACUCAGCUAUGGGCACUUCGACAAGAGCACUGCGACCCCGUGCUCAUCGCGCAGAAGGUCUGCGUUAGGGUAUACAUGGGUGUCACCACCAGCCAGCUCAACGAGCUCGUCGCCGAGACCGCUGCCACGCUCACCGCCUCCCAGCCUGACUAUGCCUCCCUCGCGGCGAGGAUUAUUGUGUCCAACCUACCGCCAAGUAGAAAUAGUCUGUGUGGCGCUCGUAAAUAAAGAGCAUUCCUGUAGAAAGAAAUAGCAUGUUGAUUUCAUCUUGAAAUAAUCAUAGCUGAGGGAUGAGGUUCGUAAUUGAGGGUCAUGUGCAGAGCUGGAGGAAGAAGUUGCGAAGCUUGGAACUCUCCUUGUGAAGGGCUCAAGGACAGCAGUGAGGACAAUGCCUCUUUAGCUGUAAUUGUGAUACUCCUAAUGUGCGCAAGUAAACAUUCCUGUGAUACUCCUUGUGCUAAAAUGUUGGUUGUUAGUACAGAGGUGGUGACAUUAUUUGGUUCUCUUGGUAGGCAAAUUGGACAAAUUUGAACUGUGGACGAAAUCAAAUUACAGAAUGAACUACCCGUGAAACUAUUUCACGCGGUUAACCUUUUUAUGUGACGCCCGACACGAAGGCGCCACACUACAUUAUGCAACGCCUCAUAGAUAGGCGCUACACGUCUGGCCAGCGUUGCACCCCAAACUGUCUAAAAAUUGUUAAGUCAUUGUGCAGAGCCUACGAGCUAGGCGCUGCACUGUAUAGUGUGGCGCCUAGCUCUCAGGCGCUGCACUAGUGGUUGCACUA